GAAGUGCGAUAAGCAAUGCGAAUUGCAGAAUUCCGCGAAUCAUCAGAUCUUUGAACGCAAGUGGCGCUAGAGGGAUAUCCUUCUGGCAUGUCUGUUUCAGUGUCUGAGAGGUUUCACACUUACCUUAAUGUGAUUGAAUCGAGUUAGUUAGUUUACUAGCCUACUCUUUUCUCUCAUGAAAGAUGCGCGAGCGGAUCUUUCGGUCCAAUGAAGUGGUCACAUCACUCGAAUGUGAUUUCAUUGGAAGCACCGAAUUAUCAUUAACAAACUCGCGGUAUCAUAUUACCUAAAAAAUGAUGUGACACUUUAUUGUUGUUGUAUCAUUUUUUUACUCUCUACACCCUGCAUCUGAGACAGGCAAGAUCACCCGCUGAACUUAA
rnacentral:misc_RNA from 1 species